AUACAGCUGACGAGUCCCAAAUAGAACGAGACGCGCGUCAAAAUGGAU
rfam:Schistosoma rodhaini strain Burundi genome assembly, scaffold: SROB_scaffold0000908